AUGGUGGACCCUGGAUUCAAGCUUUGCGCUCCAAUUCUGAAGAGAGCAGCAGGUAGACCAAGGAAGAGUCGAACCAGACCUCGCAGCGAAGGAGCUGGACUUGGAGCGAGGAAGCGUAAGUGCACAAGGUGUGGUGGGUCUGGUCAUUUCGGUAAGUAUUGUGAUAACACAGUAGAUCCAGCGUUCGGAGAGAGUUUCGAUGAAGGCUUCGAUGAAAAUGUUGGUCAGCAGCCGGUAGCCUCAACAGAUGAUGAAAAUCAUGGUCAACAGCCGGUUGCAUCAGUUGAGGAUUUUGACGAGGUUCCAAAUGAUGAUGGUCAAUAG
rnacentral:rRNA from 1 species